rnacentral:piRNA from 1 species
UGGUAAACCAACCUCAAAUGUUUCCU